AUUGAACGCUGGCGGCAGGCUUAACACAUGCAAGUCGAACGAGUGGCGGACGGGUGAGUAAUGCUUGGGAAUCUAGCUUAUGGAGGGGGAUAACUACGGGAAACUGUAGCUAAUACCGCGUACCAUAGGAUGAGCCCAAGUGGGAUUAGGUAGUUGGUGAGGUAAAGGCUCACCAAGCCGACGAUCUCUAGCUGGUCUGAGAGGAUGACCAGCCACACUGGGACUGAGACACGGCCCAGACUCCUACGGGAGGCAGCAGUGGGGAAUAUGGCACAAUGGGGGCAAGCCUGAUGCGGCCAUGCCGCGUGUAUGAAGAAGGCCUUCGGGUUGUAAAGUUCGUUCAGCGGGGAGGCGUUACCGACAGAAGAAGCACCGGCUAACUCCGUGCCAGCAGCCGCGGUAAUUC
rnacentral:rRNA from 1 species